rnacentral:rRNA from 1 species
UUUAGAUGGCGACCGGCGCACGGGUGAGUAACACGUAUCCGACCUGCCGAUGACUCGGGGAUAGCCUUUCGAAAGAAAGAUUAAUACCCGAUGGCAUAGUUCUUCCGCAUGGUAGAGCUAUUAAAGAAUUUCGGUCAUCGAUGGGGAUGCGUUCCAUUAGGUUGUUGGCGGGGUAACGGCCCACCAAGCCUUCGAUGGAUAGGGGUUCUGAGAGGAAGGUCCCCCACCAUUGGAACUGAGACACGGUCCAAACUCCUACGGGAGGCAGCAUG